ensembl:lncRNA
GUAGUUAUAUGGACCGACCUGUUUAAACCUGUAGUUAUAUGGACCGACCUGUUUAAACCUGUAAUUAUAUAGACCGACCUGUUUAACCCUUACAUGGUGUAUAGUUAAAUAGACAUAGUCUAUAAUUAUAUAGACUGGCCUGUUUAACCCUUACAAAGUGUAUAGUUAAAUAGACCAUAGUCUAUAAUUAUAUAGACUGGCCUGUUUAACCCUUACAAAGUGUAUAGUUAUAUAGACCAUAUCUAUAAUUAUAUAGACUGGCCUGUUUAACCCUUACAAAGUGUAUAGUUAUAUAGACCAUAGUCUAUAGUUAUAUAGACCAUAGUCUAUAAUUAUAUAGACCAUAGUCCAUAAUUAUAUAGACCGGCCUGUUUAAACCUUACGUAGUGGUAUGUCCGGAAAGAAUUGGACACUGACACAAGUUUUGUUAUUUGGGCUGUUUACCAAAAUAUAUUCAAGUUACAGUUAAAUAAAACAGAACAGCAUUAUUUGGACAGAUAAAACUAAGAUCAACCUGUACCAGAAUGAUAGGAAGAAAAAGUAUGGAGAAGGCUUGGAAUGGCUCAUGAUCCGAAGCACACCACUCCAUCUGUAAAAUACAGUGGAGGCAGUGUGAUGGCAUGGGCAUGCAUGGCUUCCAAUGGCCCUGGGUCACUAGUGUUUAUUGAUGAUGUGACAAGACAGAAGCAGCCAGAUGAAUUCUGAAGUGUAUAGGGAUAUAUAUUGUCUGCUCAGAUUCAGCCAAAUUCUGCAAAGUUGAUUGGACAGCGCUUCAUUGUACAGAUGGACAAUGACCCAAAACAUACUGCAAAAACAACCCAAGAGUUUUUAAGGCAAAGAAGUGUAAUAUUCUGCAAUGGCCGAGUCAAUCACCUGAUCUCAACCCGAUCAAGCAUGCAUUUCCCUGGCUAUAGACAGAACUUAAGGCGGAAAGACCCACAAACAAACAACACCUUAAGACAGCUGCAGUAAAGGCCUGGCAAGGCAUUCCAAAGGAGUAAACCCAGCGUUUGGUGAUGUCCAUGUGGUCUAGAAUUCAGUCAGUCAUUGCCUGCAAAGGAUUCUUGACAAAGUAUUAAAAACGAAAAUUGUAUUUAUGAUUGUGUUCAUUUGUCCAAUUACAUUUGUGCCCCUGAAAUAAGGGGACUGUGGAUGAAAACUGUUGCAAUUCCUAAACGUUUCAAACAAUAUUUUUGUUCAACCCCGUGAAUUCAAGAUGAAAGUCUGCACUUCACUUGCAUCUUGUUUCAUUUCAAAUCCAUUGUGACGGCGUACAGAGCCAAAAUUAUGAAAAUUGGGGCAGUGUCCAAAUAUUUCCAGACCUAAAUGCAU